UACAGAGACUGCAAGCGUUAUUCGGAUUCAUUGGGCGUAAAGGGUGCGUAGGCGGCGCGGUAAGUCGGGUGUGAAAGCUCGGGGCUUAACUCCGAAACUGCAUUCGAUACUGCCGUGCUUGAGGACUGGAGAGGAGACUGGAAUUUACGGUGUAGCGGUGAAAUGCGUAGAUAUCGUAAGGAAGACCAGUGGCGAAGGCGGGUCUCUGGACAGUUCCUGACGCUGAGGCACGAAGGUCAGGGGAGCAAACGGG
rnacentral:rRNA from 1 species